GCCCCGAGAUGAGUUCUCCCUGAGACUUUAAGUCUCCUGAAGGAACGUUAAAGACGAUGACGUUGAUAGGCCGGGUGUGUAAGCGCAGCGAUGCGUUGAGCUAACCGGUACUAAUGAACCGUGAGGCUUAACCUUACAACGCCGAAG
rnacentral:rRNA from 1 species